UUAGGGUUGAAAUUUUUUCAAAUCCAAGCCUAACAUUAAUUCCAACUAAAAAAUAAUGCCCAAAUCCGUGAAAAAUACCGCUGACGGCACUACCACCACGACGCAACCAAUCGCCACCGUCUUCUUAAACCCUUGAGCGACCCAUUACCCUAACACUCACACUCACACUCACACUCGGGCGGAGUUUUCUCCGAUUUACCUCAAUAUUGUGGGCGUCUAAGGAUUCACGUCCAGUACACACCUAUCCAACUGCCUCCGACUUGAUUCAGGAGGAAGAACUGCUCCGAUUCCAUUACCCCUUGGGAACCUGAAGCAGCUUGGUCUGUCAUCAAUUGCUGCUGCAGUGGCAACCAUGUGCAUCAGCUCUGCUUCAUCAGAUGGAGCCAUGACCACCAUGUUGGGCAAGCAAGCCAUGUAGGCAAUAUCAAAUGCUCCACAAUGGGUGGGGCCAUCUGCACCAACCAAACCAGCUCGAUCCAUUGCAAAGCGGACAGGAAUGAAGAAUAGAUGGUGCAGAAUGGCUUGAGACCCUCUGUGGCUAAACCAGCUGCAAAUGUAACAGCAUGUUGCUCAGCGAUACCUACAUCGAAACAGCGAUUUGGAAACUUUUUCUGGAAAUAAUUGAGGCCAGUU